UCCACCUACGGGAGGCAGCAGUAGGGAAUUUUCGUCAAUGGGCGCAAGCCUGAACGAGCGAUGCCGCGUGAGUGAAGAAGGCCUUCGGGUCGUAAAGCUCUGUUGCGGGGGAAAAAAGGCAGCAUCAGGAAAUGGGUGCUGACUGAUGGUGCCCCGCCAGAAAGUCACGGCUAACUACGUGCCAGCAGCCGCGGUAAUACGGAGGGUGCGAGCGUUAAUCGGAAUUACUGGGCGUAAAGCG
rnacentral:rRNA from 1 species